GGAGUGAAUUGCCUUACAGUAGGUUGUCAUGCUGUUUCUUUUUCUUCUUUUUUUUUUCAACUGCCAUCUGUGCUCCAGAAUUCAGGUUUUCACUAAAGCAAAAAUCAGCUGUAAGGAUUUCAGUCUCAUUCACAUUAAAACCCCUUGGAAUAACUGAGAAGCUGAUUGUAUAGUUACAAAGAAAAAAUCCGAAAUUCCAUCCCCUUCUCUUCCAGCUUGUAUAUAAUCCUCAUCAGUUUAAAAUUUGUGGACUUCUAGAGCUGUGUAGAGUCAUAUAGAGGCACAAAGAGAAACCAAAUACCAAGUGUUGUAGUGAAGAUCCUUUACCUUUCUGCAAGUUUGCAAUUGCAUCUUUGAGAGCUUUGAUCAAAGGGAACUUACAUCUAAGCAUGUCUGUCUAGAGCUUAGUUGUCCAGGCCAUGUUACCCUACCUGAUGUACAAAACUGGCACAGAAAAUAGUGGCAGAAUGCUUAGCUUCAGUCUCUCUGCUUCUGUGACUUCAGCAAGCUUAUCCUUCUUCAGCUUGCAAAUUUACAGGCUUGAUUCUCCACUCAGCCUGUAGAGGAUUUCCUAAAAGGCACCAUCAACAGAGCUGGCUUCUUCCUUCUUUAUGGACCAAAGUGCAUUCUAAACUAACUCCCUGCGUGUCACUCAAGGACUGAUACUGCUUGGAUC